rnacentral:rRNA from 4 species
AGACCCGAAACCCGGUGAUCUAGCCAUGGGCAGGUUGAAGGUUGGGUAACACUAACUGGAGGACCGAACCGACUAAUGUUGAAAAAUUAGCGGAUGACCUGUGGCUGGGGGUGAAAGGCCAAUCAAACCGGGAGAUAGCUGGUUCUCCCCGAAAGCUAUUUAGGUAGCGCCUCGUGAAUUCAUCUCCGGGGGUAGAGCACUGUUUCGGCUAGGGGGCCAUCCCGGCUUACCAACCCGAUGCAAACUGCGAAUACCGGAGAAUGUUAUCACGGGAGACACACGGCGGGUGCUAACGUCCGUCGUGAAGAGGGAAACAACCCAGACCGCCAGCUAAGGUCCCAAAGUCAUGGUUAAGUGGGAAACGAUGUGGGAAGGCCCAGACAGCCAGGAUGUUGGCUUAGAAGCAGCCAUCAUUUAAAGAAAGCGUAAUAGCUCACUGGUCGAGUCGGCCUGCGCGGAAGAUGUAACGGGGCUAAACCAUGCACCGAAGCUGCGGCAGCGAACGUAUCACCCAAGACAACUUUACGGAGUUGACGAUUGACGGAGCGAAGCGACGUCAAAGCGUUCAUUAAAGUCGAGUUGGCUUAGGGAUACGUUCGUUGGGUAGGGGAGCGUUCUGUAAGCCUGUGAAGGUGUGUCGUGAGGCAUGCUGGAGGUAUCAGAAGUGCGAAUGCUGACAUAAGUAACGAUAAAGCGGGUGAAAAGCCCGCUCGCCGGAAGACCAAGGGUUCCUGUCCAACGUUAAUCGGGGCAGGGUGAGUCGACCCCUAAGGCGAGGCCGAAAGGCGUAGUCGAUGGGAAACGGGUUAAUAUUCCCGUACUUGGUGUUACUGCGAAGGGGGGACGGAGAAGGCUAUGUUGGCCGGGCGACGGUUGUCCCGGUUUAAGCGUGUAGGUGUGUGUUCCAGGUAAAUCCGGUUCACUUUAACACUG